UCGCACGUCCUCCCCAGAUUCCAGCGCCGCCGUCACGACCCGGCCCCAUCUCUUCCUCCUGGCUUGCUCCUGGCACGAUCGGUGGUUCUGGAAUUUGGGCGAGCGGUUGCACUGGCGAUUGCUGCUGGCGGCGAGCGGCUUCACCCGCGAUUGCAGCCGGCGGCUGAACCUGGGAUUGCGGCGGGCGGCUGCAGCUGGGGACAGCCGCCAGCGGUUUCGGGGCAAGCGCGCGACCUCGCCGGCGCGCGUCGCUGCGGUAGGCUAUGUGUGCGGGCGGCCUUGUACCCGGCGGCAACGGGUGGCUCCGUGGUCUCGGGAUUUUCAUGGGCGAGUGGCGUGGUUUGGUGAGCUCGGUACCCCUAUUUUGGCCACCACGGCUGGUGGGAUCGGUGGUGUUCGGCGCGAGUGGAUUCGUGCGAGCGGAGCGAUUAUUCUUCUCUGCCGGCGUUCUUCUACUGCUAUCACGGAUUUCAGCGGAAGGGGCAUGCCAUGGAGCCAGGGAAGAUCCUUGACUCCUCGUUGUUAGUGCUCCUUACCAUGGCUGAGAUUGAGUCCACAACACGCUUGGAACCAGCGCCGCCGGCUGGAAAAGCAGCGGCUCGUAUGCCUUUGGGGUCUCAUCGCCGGCUGAAAUCGAAUAUGAUCAUCACCCACCGUCCCCUAACUCCACUAGCCGCUGAAAUCAACCACCAGCCUCUGUACCUGAGUUACCCAACCUGCAGUUCACGUCCAAGAUCCGUGACAUCCAGAUGUCCUCCAAGGUGUUCUAGAAUGAGAUGGUAUGUAUGUACACAAUGCUUCAGAGACAUUUAUUAUUUGCUCAUACUUCCAUAAAGAAGUAAAGGUAUAGUUUCUUCAUGCAUACCAUCUGAUUCCUCACUACUCUUGAAUGUUAUGUCCAAUCUUUUCAAAGAUUUCCAUUAGUUUUAUCAUUACCACUCUGACACCACUCUCCUUGUCUUUGUUAAGGCUAUUUUAGCCUCUUGUUAGUGACCAUUUUAGAAUUUACUCUUAUGUGUCAAAUUUUCAGUGCUCCAGUGGUUCGACCUGUUAGAAACAGGUUAUAAUGUACUCAUUUGUUGGGUUAAGGUGCACCAAAUUUAGAAAUUUAAUCACUUUUAUAUAGUUCAGUAGUUGUCAAAUACUAUUUUAUUCUAUUAAUUUUGCAGGUUAUGAUGCUACUACUUUUUAAGUUUCAGUAUAGGUCAAAUAGUAUUUUUAAGUUUGAGUAUAGGUUAAUCUUUUCAUGCUUUGGUGUCUUUGUUUUCUUAGGAUUCUACUACUUUUUAAGUUUGAGUAUAUGUUACAUAUGAACUAAUGUGGACGUUUAUAUCAUUUAUUAAUCUGAUCUUUUUUCCAUGACAGGCAUCCAUAAUGCCAAGAAGAAAAAGUUUGGGGCCGUAGCAGGAAGAUACUUACAUGGAUCUUCUUGCUGCAUUAAUAGCCAGUUAGUUGUGAAGUUUGGCCUCUCAAGUAGUCUAAUCCUCGAUAACAACCAUAGAUUUUCUUUUGUUACCUAAGGCUGGUCAAUAUUUGUAUGGCGUUUGAAGUUUACAUCAUUCCUACUAAUAACUAAGUUUACUCAGAAGUGUUCCUCUCUUUCUUGUAGACGAACAUAGGUGUAUGUACUACUGUGAAUGCAGGAGAGCAAGCGUCAAACAUAAUAUUUCACUUUUCGGAGCCGAAGAGAAGACGACCAGAGACAUGAAUCUGGCAACUUCAGUAUGAGGAGCUCAGUGACAUUGAAAGAAGUCUUGAGAAAAUAACAAGAGAGGUGUUGUACAAGGUGACCAAGAAAGUGAGCAGAAAGUCGACUAGGGACAGGAUUUUUCCCACGUGAAUCAGAGGUACAAAGUCAAGUUUCCCUUGCUCCAUUCUAUAAUUGCUUCACUAUAUAUGAUCUACUGCAGUACUAGGGCUACAAAUUUGUGAUGUGUAGAGAUGAAACCACUAAUUGCGUAUGAAUUGCUUCAGGUACUAUUCAGUUCCCUUUUCUCCCUUUCUUUAUCAACUUCAGUCAUAAAUACAUGGUGAGGUAUUUGUUGUGACUUAUGCUCUAUUCAGUCAGAAAUACAUGCGGAGUUAUUCUACAUGAUGUGCCCUGAUUUCUUACUUUCCAUGUAUUUAUUUCCUGGGGGCCUAUCAACCUUUUCCAAUGAAUUGGCAAUAUCUAUGGCUGCACUUAAUAGUUGUUAUGUAGGCCAAUUGCCUCAUGGACCGAUAUGCUAUUCGACAAGAUGUGCCCUCAUUUCUUAUUUUCCAUGUAUUUAACACCUGAUGUUUAUCCAAUUUAUUGAAUCACCUCUGAUUUUUGUAUCUCAGUUUAAUUUUUCUCUUUUUUUUUGCUAAUUAUGAUGUAAGUUUCUGAGAGUGUUGGCUGUGAUGCACCGAUUUCAAAUCAAUAAAAGGAGGUAAUCUAUAAUAACCUUGUGAGCAGAGGUAAUUAUCUCUGUCUCUUUCACAUGAUGUAUUUAAGUUCUACUGUAUUUUGAAGCCAGUCAUGUAUGUCUCUUGGAGUGCUGUUAGUAAUGACUUAGUAACGAUUUACGCUUAACCAUUUUACAAUAUGGGAUGGAACUUUGUGCAAGUUUUAGAUGAUUUAGUUUUCUUUUGGUCCACUAUGAGGUGUGAAGUGGUAAAGAUCAACUAUUCUCACUUGUAUGCAUGACUUCUGGAGAGGUUACUUUCUUGCUCUCUUAAGUUUGAUAAUCUUACAGUACUUGGUAGAUGGACACUAUGCAUUCAACUAUCAUCAUUAUGUUACAAAGUAGUAUUCUGCAUUCAACCUUUGUACAUUAUAAGAUGGCAUUCUGCAGUGACAUACUGACAUGUUGUUUAGAAGAUUGUCAUUCUCCUGCUCCAAACAAAUGGCAUGCACAGUUUAAAUAAUUCAAUCUAUGCGCCUGGGUUAAGCAUGUAGCCAUGUUUCCGCAAAGGUUGAUUAUACAAUUUAAAUGCUUUAUUCCUAUGCAAUAUAGUUAAAUAAAUCUGUCUGGCGUUGACGAGCAUUUCUGCUUGAGAACAACCGAACCAAGCGUAUAUUGGUGUCUAUAUUAUAAGCUCUAUUUUAUGUUUGGAAGCUAGAAGCUCAUAUACUCAUAUUUUGGAUUCAAUAAUUUGUUGAACUGGUUAUUUAACUGCUGCAAGACACAGAUAUGUUCAGCUUUCAAUUUUGAAAAAAAUCCUAUCUUGUUUGACCCCACUGGGUUGGUAAUCCUGCCAAGUUCCUAAGGAAGCUUACAGUGGAGGAGAUUGCCUUCAUCUCCCACUCAGCAACCAACUAUUUCAACUUAGCUCAAGUUCAUGCAGCCGAGAAUGAAGAGCUUCGAUGAGAUUGAGCUUGAGAAGAAGUUGAGGAAGAAGUUUGCUCACAAAGACGAGGAGUACGACUCGAUGCUUGGAGUGGUCCGCGAGAUACCUCCGCAGCUCAUCCUUAAGGCGGCUGCCAUUGCUCAUUGAACGUUUUUCUCUUAUCAGGCCCCUGGGGAUGCCUUGUAAUGUUACAUGGUGACUUAGAACAUUUGACGUAUGUCUGGUGUUGUUCUCUGUUUUUUCCCCAAUAAGAUUUGGGUCGAGCAAUGUUGUAGGAUCGACCAUAUAUAGUACAUCUCUUUUCUAUUGAAAUGAAGAGAAUCCUGGUUUCACUUUUGCACAUUCGGAAUGUAGUGCACUGUGCACAUUAUUGAAG